AUGGCAGAUGGGCUCACACAGCUGCAGGACGUGAUGCAUUGGCUUGCAGAUAGGUUUUGGAAUGCCAUCGGAGUGCUGGAGCACUGUAGCCCUCCUGCUUCCUUUACUAAUAUUCAGACAGCAAUUAGCAAAGACCAGCCUGCUAAUCCUAAAAAAGAAUAUGUCCAGUUUUUUGCAGCAGUGAUUGCACGAACAGCAAAAGACACUGAUGUUUUGAUAGAUUCAUUCCCCAGUGAAGAAUCCACAGUGGCUUUACAGGCUGCUCGCCUGUAUAAGCUGGAAGAAGAAAACCAUGAAGCUGCUACGUGUCUGGAGGAUGUUGUUUAUGGAGGGGACAUGCUUCUAGAAAAGAUACAAAAUGCACUUGCUGAUAAUAUGCAGUCACAAUUGAAGACAAGGAGUGGUACCAUUAGCCAGUUUCUUCUAGACUCGUAG